AUGAAAUUAGAAUUGUAUGGCAAAAAAGCAAAUUCCACAUUCUAAUUCUUUCAUUCAUCAAAGCAAACCACAAACCACAAAACAAAACAAAGGAGAGCUUAAACGAACCUAAAAAAUAAGAAAGAAACAAAGAAAUGUUGAUGAGAAGCCUUCACUUACACUCCACUGACCACACAAUAAUAGCUCUCGAGCUCACUUCACUCUUUUUUCUCUUCGUUUCUCUCAGUAACCAUGGCAACCUUGUAAAAGCUCAUAUUUUCGACUAUGCAGGUUGUUCUCAAGAGAAAUAUCAACCCAACUCUCCAUUUGAAGGCAAUCUUAAUUCCCUUUUAGCUUCAGUUGUAAGCUCAUCGUCUCAAGCAGCUUACAAUAGUUUUGUUAUUGGAAAUGGAACCUCAGCACCAGCUGAAGAUACUGUAUACGGUUUGUAUCAGUGCAGAGGCGAUUUAAAGAUCAUUGACUGUUCAAGAUGCAUUCAAAGCGCGGUUAACCAAAUAGGGCUUGUUUGUCCAUACUCUUUUGGAGCUAGUUUGCAAUUAGAAGGCUGUUUUUUAAGAUAUGAGCAUAAUGAUUUCUUAGGAAAGCUUGAUACGGGUUUAAGAUACAAGAAAUGUAGUAAAAGUGUAAACAAUGAUGUUGAAUUCUUUAGACGAAGAGAUGAUGUUCUUGCUGACUUGCAAACGGGUAUAGGAUUUAAGGUUAGCAGUUCAGGUCUUGUAGAAGGAUAUGCGCAGUGUUUGGGAGAUUUAAAUCCAGCAGAUUGCUCUUCUUGCUUGGCAAAUGUUGUUGGGAUGUUGAAGAAUUUGUGCGGUUCAGCUGCAGCUGCUGAUGUGUUCUUGGGCCAGUGUUAUGCUCGGUAUUGGGCGUCAGGAUACUAUGAUUUCCCUUCAGAUCAAAUUAAGAAACACCAGAUUGACCACUUUAGUGCUUUUUGGAGAGAAACAGAGAUUCCUCCAGCGAGGAUCAAGUGGGAAAAACAGUAGCAAUCAUAGUUGGUAUACUAGCAGGUCUUGCUGUUCUAGUUGUUCUUCUCUCAGUCUGCAGGAAAUCAAUGGGUUAAUCAAGAAGAUAGAUAUGAGAGAGAUGUGGAUUCUUUCAAAGAGUUGAUGUUUGUUUUAAAUAUUCUCGUGAUAGAUAAUGAUACUCUGCUUUUGUUCAUUUAAAUAGACAAAAGUUUUUGCACGAAAAAGAAAAUGGGUUUCGAGUGUUAUCCUCUGGCAUAAAGUAACACUAAUUUCUAUCAA